UCUAAUUUAAUAAUUAACUCUCAUUUCCGGUUUUUGCAAUUUCUCAAAAUUGCUGAUUCAGCUUCUUUACUUCUGGACUAAAUAUAUGAACUGGACCUUUUCCUGAUAGGGAGGCAUUUUAAUGAGACAAUUUAAAUACAAUCCAAUAUUGUAAUACAAUGUAAGGGCUAGAUAUUCAGACUGCAUAUAAAUUGGUCAUUAAAAUGCAAAUUGCCCCAAGUCAACUUUGGCUAGGCCACUUUUGCUAUUGUUUAAUUUACAAUUUUAGAUAACUCACAUGCCUAAUUAUCAUUGUUCUAGAAAACAGAAGCAUAAAAUAGAACAAAGGUAAUCAAGUUUUUGAAUUAUCGACAUUAGUGAAUAACUCUUAUACAUAACAUUUCUUUUGUUCUAUUCUGUGCUUCUGUAAACAGGGCCCGCGGAGCGUAUUAGAGAGUGGGGGGGGGGGCUAAAGGGUGAGGUUUAAUUAAUUUAGAAAGUUUCAUUUAGAUUUCUAUUUUAAUAAUUUUGGCUGUCAAAAAAAGUGGGGGGGCUAAAGCCCCCCCAGCCCCCCCGUCUCCGCGGUCCCUGGUAAACAGGAACAAGAACUAGGCAUGUGAGUUAUUUAAAGUGUGAAUUGGGUAGCCAAAUUUGUCUAUCAGGCCACAUAAAAAAAAAUAGUUGGUUAGCGUCCAUAACUUUUGCCAAAAAGUGGGGGGCGGACUUUUUUUUUUAAUUUAUACUAAUUUUUAACGCCUUGGUUUUAGGUCUGAAAUUGGAUUUUCUUGCGCAGUACUGCAGAUAUUUCUUGAAUUUUUCUUAUAUAUUUCAG